GUAUUAAAUCAAUAGAAAUGAGUUUAAAAGUAGUUAUCAGUAUCUGCUUAAUUUUCACCGUUUUGCAGACAGUACUCGGGGCACCAAAUAAUUUAAAAGAUGAACGAUACCUUGAACAAAAAUUCGUGGAAUUUUUACAACAAGAUAAAGAACUGUCUUCGUUAUUACAAAAUGCAAAUGCCGUUCCCCACACAUUGUCCCGAAAUGUGAGACAAGCUGAAGAAGAUUUUGGCAGUGAUGGUAACGAAGCCGAUGAUGCUGGAGAACCAAAGCCAGGAUUUUUUGAUCGAGCUGCCAAAUUUGUGAUGGAAGUCUUACAGAGAUUUCUCAAAUGGAUUAAUACAGACAAUUAGAACCGGCGUGAGAGAAGGAAUUAAAAAAUACAUAUUAAAUGUUUUGUCCGGAUAAUAUGUUAUCUGCAUUGAAAUAAAUAAUUUUUUUAUAAAAUUAA